GGGGGAAUUUUGCACAAUGGGGGAAACCCUGAUGCAGCGACGCCGCGUGAUUUAGAAGGCCUUCGGGUUGUAAAAAUCUUUUCUAUGGGAAGAAAAUGACAGUACCAUAGGAAUAAGGACCGGCUAAUUACGUGCCAGCAGCCGCGGUAAUACGUAAGGUCCGAGCGUUGUCCGGAAUCAUUGGGCGUAAAGGGUACGUAGGCGGGUAAGCAAGUUAGAAGUGAAAUCCUAUAGCUCAACUAUAGUAAGCUUUUAAAACUGCUCAUCUUGAGGUAUGGAAGGGAAAGUGGAAUUCCUAGUGUAGCGGUGAAAUGCGCAGAUAUUAGGAGGAAUACCGGUGGCGAAGGCGACUUUCUGGCCAUAACCUGACGCUGAGGUACGAAAGCGUGGGUAGCAAACAGG
rnacentral:rRNA from 2 species